ensembl:lncRNA LOC108352885 uncharacterized LOC108352885
GUAUAGAGAUAUGGACUGUUGCUGGGCAAGAACCGAAGAGAUUGCUUUAAGGCACAAUGAGUUUGAAGCCGUACCAGGACAUCUAAAUGCCAAGCCCCAGCUGGCAGCUGGAGAUAAGGGGCUGGCUCCCAAAUAAAAGAAGCAAGCUUCAGUUUGGGAGUAAGGAAGAAACGCCAGGGCCAUGGUGAGAAGUGAGGGGAAUACGGAAUCCUCGGGCAUUCUCUGAAGGCAUUGUUGCCCCAGGACGCCAGCACCAUAUCCUUUGAGCCCUGCAGUCACAGAGAGCAUCAACCACUAAGUCUAUUUACUUUAGACGACCUCCCCCCAUACAGAGUUAAGCCUGCUACGUCAUCCUGAGAAUGAAGGAUUUCUUGAGCAGAAUUCCUCCAUAUCGCCCCUUGCACCCGGGUCCACACCCUUUUUCUCUCAGAAAACAAGCAAGCGUCUAAGGAAUGAAAAGGAAAAAAGAAAAGAAAAGAAGCUGUUUGUCCUUUCAGUCACUUAAUAGCAAACGUCAUGAAAUUCGAUGAAAGUUCAACGUAUUUAUUGUAUUCUGUAUGGAGCAUGCUUCAGCAGCCCGAGAGACCACAAGUGAGUCCCAGUUGCCUGGCAGAGCAAACUCAUGAAGUGGGAAAUGGCAUCUCACACCCAGCUCACAGUCUCCAAAUCGGACCCUUGUUUCCUCGAUGUGUCAUUGGUUUGGCUAUCUCAGCCCUGGUAUUUGCAUUCAUGCGAAGACAACAGAACUGAGUAGUUCUGAUCAAGAUCAAAGGAUCCACGAAUCCUAACUGUGUGGCUGAAGAAAGGGGAAAAACAGUAAGAGAAAAUGUCUCCGCUAGAUUGAAAAAUGGUGAACAAGACAAAUCCAUGGAGUUUAUCUCAGCAAAGAACAUUCGAGAUGAUGCUGCGACCCACCUGAAGUUCUCAGCACUCUGGAUAUCACCUACAGACUAAAUGCCAAAGGAAGCUACUGAUGGACUUUGGAAAUGGUUAAGGAAGCAAGAAGGAGCACCGAGGUAUUGAUGAAAGGCUAUGGAGAGGCACCCAGCACACUCAUAUCAAUGAAAUCUGCAAUGUCAAAAUGGAAAGAAAAGCUUACAAACUACCCAAAGGAGCAAGCAAGGUCUCAGGCCCAAAAAAGGCCAGCAGAAGCUGUAACGUCUUGCAGGCAUAGUUGUCACAUAUGCCAUCUGGCUCCCUAGCCCAUCAGUAGUGCCAUCAAUAUCCUCUGCAAACAGGAAGGACGCUGCCUGUUGACAAUGUACGUGGGUAAAGAUUUGCUCUAGACAAUGAUAAUGUUCUCCUGGCCUUAUGGAUUAUUAGCGAUAAAAACUUGCUCUGGAACCAGGAAGAAUGAGGCAAGGUUUUUGUUUGUUUGUUUUUGUUUUGUUUCCUUUUGUAAGAAAAAUUUAUUUUUAUUCUUUUUUAUUCUACUUAUUCACUUUACAUCCCACUCACUGCCCCCUGUCAGUCACCCCCCUCUCACCAUCCUUUCCCCCAUCCCCCAAACCUUCCCCUUCUCUGAGUGAGUGAGGCCUCCCUUGGUUAUCACCCUCCCUAGCACUUCAAGUCUAUGAAGCUCUAGGCACAUCCUCUUACAGUGCAGGCAGACAAGACAGCCCAGGUAGAACAUAUUCCACAUAUAGGCUACAGCUUUUGAGAUAGCCCCUGCUCCAGUUGUUCAGGAACCACAUGAGGACCAAGCCUCACAACUGCUCCAUAUGUUUGGGAAGGCCUAGGUUCAGCCUGUAUAUGUUCUUUGGAUGGUGGUUUAGUCUCUGAGAAUCCCAAGAAUUCAGAUUAGUUGACUCUAUUGGUCUUCCUGUGCAGUCCCUAUUCUCUUCAGGGAUCAUAAUUCUUCUUCCUUUUCUUCCAAAAAAUUUCCCACACUCCACCCAGUUUUUGGCUGUGGGUGUCUGACUAUCUCUUUUGUCCUCAUCUGAUUCGGAACCCCUCCCCCAUUCGCUCCCAUGCUUUCUCCUACCGAGUUCCCUCCCUCCUUUUGCCUCGUAUUUCAUUCCUCCUUCUAAGUGAGAUUCGAACAUCUUCACUUGGGUUUUCCCUCUUGUUUAGCUUUGGGUGUGUGGAGUGGAGUGUGGAUAUCCUGUAUUUUAUGGCUAAUAUUCACUUAUAAGUAAGUACAUAUCAUGUAUGUCUUUUUUGGGAUGGGUUACCUCAGGGUGAUAUUCUCAAGUUCCAUCCAUUUGUGGGGCAAGUCUUUUAAUGUUGCUUGGAGAAGGAGAACUUUCUGAGUUUGACAAAACUUAUGUAUCGUAGGCCCUUCAUAAAUAGCAAUGUGUACUUUUCAAAUAAAUGCUAAAAAGCUUUGUGAAGCCAGUCACUGUCUUAUUUAGGUUGUCUCCAGUGUUUGACAACACAUCUAGCACCUAGCAGGUAGUUAGUAUGAAUUGAGUGAAGUGUAUACUUGAGAUAACUUGGCCAGUAGACUGUAAAUUCUAGAGUUAUUUCAAGGUAGCUCUUUUUUCCCUCCUUUAUGUGAUGGACAUGUCAAUCGCCUUCAUGGUCUUGCUGUCUUGACACUUAAUUUGCCUUGGCUCUGCUCUGCUCCUUGUAAGGUAAACAAAUCUAGUUACUUCCCGCCUCUUCGUUUAUCACUGUGACAGUACGAGGCCAAGAUUGUUUAUUUUAGGAUGACACACUGUGAGUCCAAAAACCAAUCACUUAUUCCAUGCAUCACCAUUUCAGUGGGCUUAAUUAUGCUUAAUCAAUAACAAUGAUUUCUGGAGGAUGUGCCCUG